GGGCGGUUAGCUCAGCUGGAAGAGCACCUGCUUGACGUGCAGGGGGUCAGGGGUUCAAGUCCCUUACCGCCCACCA
rnacentral:tRNA from 1 species